AACGAACGCUGGCGGCAUGCCUAACACAUGCAAGUCGAACGAGAUCUUCGGGUCUAGUGGCGCACGGGUGCGUAACGCGUGGGAAUCUGCCCUUUGGUUCGGAAUAACAGUUGGAAACGACUGCUAAUACCGGAUGAUGACGAAAGUCCAAAGAUUUAUCGCCAGAGGAUGAGCCCGCGUAGGAUUAGCUAGUUGGUGUGGUAAAGGCGCACCAAGGCGACGAUCCUUAGCUGGUCUGAGAGGAUGAUCAGCCACACUGGGACUGAGACACGGCCACGACUCCUACGGGAGGCAGCAGUGGGGAAUAUUGGACAAUGGGCGAAAGCCUGAUCCAGCAAUGCCGCGUGAGUGAUGAAGGCCGUAGGGUUGUAAAGCUCUUUUACCCGGGAUGAUAAUGACAGUACCGGGAGAAUAAGCUCCGGCUAACUCCGUGCCAGCCGCCGCAGUAA
rnacentral:rRNA from 1 species